UAAGAGAAAUAUUUGUGUAUAUACUUUUCCGAAAAAAUUAUUCCAGGGAUUUUAGAAAGGUUAAUUUAAAAUAUUCCAUCGUCAUCGAUCUAAACAUCUUCGUGUGCAACAUACUUAAUCAUCGAUCAAAUAAAAUAAACAAGUUGACGGUGUGAAGCUACCUUAAAACAUAUUACCUUCACCUUCUCCCCUUUAGUUUCUUAUAUUACUUUCACUGGAAAAGAUCCUCUCAGUCAGUUAUAUGUCUGUUCUCUAAGAUAAGAAAUAUUAUUUAAAGUUUUUUCAUGCUAUCGAUUUAAAAAAAAUGAAGAGUUUGAUCAUCGUCUUCGUUUUAUCGACUUCCUGUCUUGGAGAGGUCUCACACAUUUUAUCAAAAUAUUCGACGACAACUACUAGCACAUUACCACCACCUCCACGACCAUACAGUUUUCAAUACAAAGCGGGACGAUAUCCAGGACACGUUGAUCGAAUUCAUCAAGAAUCUGGAGAUGGUUCCGGAACCGUUUAUGGAUCUUACUCGUUCAUCGAUCCUAAAUACAAAGUACGAAGAGUGGAAUAUGUGGCUGAUAAAAAUGGAUUUCAUCCAUCAUUGAUAAAUUACGACGAUACGCUUAAACAGCCUGUUGAUUCAGAAGCUGUGAAACUCGCGAAGGAAAGACAUUUUCAGCUUUAUGAAAAAUUAGCUGAUGCUAAUGCCCACGAUAUACCAAUAAAUGUACCAAAGGAUUCUGUUAGUGUAUUAAAAGCGAAGGACAAACAUUUACAGCUCUAUCAGAAGAUUGCCGAAGAACACGCGGCUAUCGCAUCUCAAAGAGAAGCAGAGCGUACAGCAUAUGAAGCAACUUCGAUCGUUAAUGAUGUUAAUGAACAUCAAACAUAUUAAGAAACUACUAAUAAGAAAGAAAAAUUGUUGAUAUAGUAUCAAUAAGAUAAAUUUACCUGUAUAAAAUCUUUCAGAAUUUAAAAACAAGAAUUUUUGUGCAAUCCAAAUUUGAUAAAAAACGGACAAUGGAUGAUUUUAUAAUUGUUAUAUAUAUAACAUGUGUUAUUAAUCAUAAAAGGACACGUGAGUCACAUACACAUGAAUAUUUUUCUUUAUGAGUACCGGAACUGUUGCUGUGUAUAUUAAAAAAAAGAUAAAUACUAUAAUUACACUAUGCAUUGGUAUAAAAGUCUAGGUGUGACAAAAAAUAAAAUUGUCGCCGUUUAUAUCUCCGGGAAGAUGAAGUUCUACGGUUUUUGGUUACUGCUUAUUGCCAUAUUCUAUAUUACGAUUACUGUAGGUAGGAACAUCGAUUAUACCAGCAAUGCUUUUUUAAAAUCUAAAAGCAUCGCUUGUCGUGGAGGUCGAGGAAACAAUGGAGGAGGAGGCACAAAUGCUACUAGUGGUGCAACAGGAACUAUGACUAAUAUGACACCUAAUUUAAUGCGCACUGCACAACAAGCAAUAGAUACCUUGACGGAUAUGGUUUCAAAUAUGAAUCCAAUGGGGUAAAUCACAUAUUUGUUCGAAAUUAUUGCACCAUGUAUCCAAUAAUCAAAUUUACAUAUAUAAUGAUAUUAUUAAUACUUUAUAAUCAUUACUUUCUUAAUCAAAAAUGCUUCUUAUAGUUGUUAAAAAUAUUAGAAUUAAAUAAUAAAAUAAUAAUUAAUGAACACAA